AUGUCGGUUUUCAAAAUUCUAAAACAAAUUUGUAAAGUAAUUACAGACACGACGUCGCAUUAUUGGUGGGGUGACAGUGACAAUCGGAGGAGAAUGCACUGGUUUGCAUGGUGGAAGUUGUGUGUGCCAAAGAAAGAAGGUGGAAUGUGAUUUAGAGAUAUUCAUUGUUUUAACCUAGCCUUGCUUGCCAAACAGGCCUGGAGAUUAAUUGAUAAUCCGGAUUCCCUUUGUUCCUGUGUUCUCAAAGCCAAAUAAUAUCCAGAUUAUGAUAUUUUGAAGGCAACUCUGAAAAAGAGAGCCUCAUUCACAUGGCAAAGUAUUAUAACAGGGCUGCAAACACUGAAAAGAGGUCAUAUAUGA
rnacentral:rRNA from 1 species